UACGGAGGGUGCGAGCGUUAAUCGGAUUUACUGGGCGUAAAGCGUGCGUAGGCGGCCUGUUAAGUCAGAUGUGAAAGCCCCGGGCUCAACCUGGGAACGGCAUUUGAAGCCGGCGGGCUAGAGUCGGGUAGAGGGGAGUGGAAUUCCGGGUGUAGCGGUGAAAUGCGUAGAUAUCCGGAGGAACACCAGUGGCGAAGGCGGCUCCCUGGGCCCAAACUGACGCUGAGGUACGAAAGCGUGGGUAGCAAACAGG
rnacentral:rRNA from 1 species